rnacentral:ncRNA from 1 species
GAAAAUGCAAAGAACAGAAUGAGUAGAUAUUCAAAUCCAUCAGAGAGAAGUCGGCUGGUGCGAGACUUUUGGAAAUUGUGUAUCGAACCGGUCUGGGAGCAGCAGGAGUCAAAGCUGAGGGUUGUUCAGAAACUUCUGCCGGAAGUCACCGUUAUCAGAGACAUGCGAGUGAUAGCUUGCAGUGAGUGCAGAGAAAUCUGAAUUUAGGUGGUAACGCGGAUUUAUUUCGUCCUAAGU